rnacentral:ribozyme from 14 species
UUUUUUUUUUGUUUUUUUUUUUUUUUUUUUUU